rnacentral:rRNA from 1 species
GUAGGGAGCGAGCGUUGUCCGGAAUUACUGGGUGUAAAGGGUGCGUAGGCGGGUAUGCAAGUCACAUGUGAAAUACCGGGGCUCAACUCCGGAACUGCAUGAGAAACUGCAUAUCUUGAGUGCAGGAGAGGUAAGCGGAAUUCCUAGUGUAGCGGUGAAAUGCGUAGAUAUUAGGAGGAACACCAGUGGCGAAGGCGGCUUACUGGACUGUAACUGACGCUGAAGCACGAAAGCGUGGGGAGC